UAAAGGAAGAUCAUUAAGACCUCUGUCUGCAGACUCUUAAUAUCAGCAAGCCCUUUUGAUAAAGAAUUUAUCUACGACAGUAACACAUGGAGUUCAAAGCUUCACACACCUGGAAACAGCAGCAGGGUUAUGUCACUGCUGCAGGUUUGUGAUGAAGUGGAGCGAAAACAUCCAGCUUUGGGAAAGAAGUGACAAAGAUUUGACUGCGUCUGCAAAAAGUGCUUCACUUGCCUCCAGAGAAAUCUCUGCCAUACCAGCUGUACCUGGAGGCCAGAGAGGAGGCUCUCGUUGAAGAGUUACCAGGAGUUAACAGGUAUUGACUCUUUAUAUUUCUCCCAUACGUCUAUAAGGAGAACAUGAACCUUUUUAUCCCUCUUGGAGACUCUGAUGCAGACAUGUGGUGUUUAACUGAACCAAACACACACAACAAAGUUAGCAAGUUAACUUUUCUUAUUGAUUGUAUGACUGAAAUUAUGUAAUUAAAACAGAAAUAGUUGAAAGGAGACAUAAACUUUUUAUUAUUUAAUUACAUUUGGCUACACACUAAAUAGUUUAUUUACUUUACAAAGAAUUAAAAAAUGAGCUCUAAUGUGGUUCGUUGUGUUUGUUCCGUGUGAUUGUAGCGUGACCUUCCAUCUCCACACACAACUAUUCUCCUGACUGGUCAAGACUGGAAAAUGUCCUUCUUCACCAAAAGAGCUCCAAACGUUGUGAAAGCAGACGAUGUUGAGGAAGGGAUUAUCUCUGCCUUCUGCACUGACUUUGUCUUCAAGCUGGCAAACCCGAGACACCUGAAGACACACUGACGUUCCUCCAGAGGUGCAUGGUGGUGACCAACCUCUGCCAAGAACUGUUAACAGGACCAUAAAUCUUCUUUAUUCACUCCAUUAUGCCGCAUACCUAGCAGUGCUUCUAAUGCUCCAGGAGAGAAUCUACCUUAAAUGAAUUCAGCACAAAGGACUUUAUAGAAUUUAUUAUUAUUGUUUUAUGGUAUAAAGUUAGAGGAAGAAAAACUGUAGAACAGAUGAUGAUGUUUGUUGUGAUUUCAUCUUUCAUUCUGUUGCAUGUUUGUGUGUGAAUGACGCCUAACAAAGCUUCUUUAUUUUCAUCACUGGCUGAAAUAAAUUAAACUAAUGACAAUGAAACCACCAAUAGAUGGAGGCCUGAGAAACGUAGGAAAGACCAGAACUGUUAGUUCCACAUGUGUCUGAUCAUCCAGUGUGUAACAGCAACGAGCAACGCAAAGCAACAUGUUUAGUUUUUUCUAGAAGUUUCUUUGUAACAUGCUCCAUCAUACAAGUACAACAUGCAUGUAAGCUGAGCCCCGUCCAGACUGUGAAGUAUAAGUGUAAGAACAGUAGAACACACACACUUUCUGCUGCUGUUUUCAUGGUGUUCAGUGUGUCUUUCUGCAGGUGCUCCUGAUGAUUGUCUGCUGUGUUUUCAUAUAGAGGCCGUAGGAUGUUUUCUGUUUCUCUACCGGUGUUGCAGCUGGUUGUUCUAUUGUUUCUGUUGUUUCUAUCUUUGUCCUCUCUCCACUUUUUACUCUCCUUUUCUCUUCUGUUUAAUUCAAUCCAGCUUUAUUUGUACAGCAGCUCUUUACAACAAAGUCCUCUCAGGGCUCCUUUCUUUCAUAUCCUGUGUCAGGUCCAGCUUUUAAAUCUUUAUUCAGCAAAAAACUACUAAAAGAAAUGAAUAAUACUGAAGUAUCAGAGGAGCCUUAUAUGUCGUGGUCAUAGGUGAUGUUCUUGGUUUUGUCGUGUUUACUUUAGUUUCCAGUUUUGUUGGUUCCCGUGUGUGUUGUGUGUUUUGUUUGCGGCUCGUUAGUUCACCUGGUCUGAUUGCUCCCUCACUUCACCUGUUCCCUGUUAGUCGUCCUCUGUUUAUUUACGCCUUGGUUUCUCUGACUCGGUGCCAGAUCAUUGUUGUUGUUUCGUGUUCAGUCUGUAUCAGUUUCCUUGUUCCUUGAUAUUAAAUCCUGGAUAAUGGCG